UACGUAGGGGGCCAGCGUUGUCCGAAGUUACUGGGCGUAAAGAGCGCGUAGGCGGGUCUUUAAGUGAGGGGUGAAAGGUUCAGGCUCAACCUGGACACUGCCUUUCAUACUGGAGGCCUUGAGUGCGGGAGAGGCGAGUGGAAUUCUUGGUGUAGCGGUGAAAUGCGUAGAUAUCAAGAGGAACACCCAUGGCGAAGGCAGCCCGCUGGCCUGCAACUGACGCUGAGGCGCGAAAGCGUGGGGAGCAAACAGG
rnacentral:rRNA from 1 species